ACUUGAUGAAACUCCAUCUAUGCUGGUUUAAUAUUUAACGACUGUUUGAGUUUGGUUCCCCUUAGUGAUCAGGAUCAACUCCCCUCUGAUCCACAUAGCAGCACUCGACUUGACUGAACUGCAUGAAGGGACUUCCUCUGCAAGAUGUUAAACCAACGCUGUUACACAUUCUGAGUUACCCAACACAAGGUCACCGGUGACGGCAAACACACACAAUGUACGUUAACUCCUCUGCAGCCACCAGUGGAUCUUAUUCACUGACAUUCUUGGGAAAGAAAGUCGGGAGGCAUCACUCCGUGGCGCCGGCGGGCAAGCAGAUUGCAUGGGAAGCAACCGGGUCUUCCCGCCCCGAGGACUCUUUGGUGUCCUUGCAGUCUGGUCACAGUCCAACAUCAGCCCAGGCAAUGGGGGAUUUACCUGGCAGUGUACCGGAGCUGAGGGAGAAAAUGCCAUGUCCAAUAAGGCACAACAGGCUUGACCAGCAUGAAGACAACACAACAGGUGUUUCUGGGAGGAAAGUAACAGCAUGACGGCACACCCACAUUCCUGUGUGAGGAAACAUGGAGGGGAGGGGUGGGAUGGGACAGUGCUGGGAGGUAGCGUGAAAAAAGAGAGUGAUGUUAUCUUAAAAAAGUGAAUCCGUUUGGAGAAAAAAAGUCAGUUUUAGAUGAUGCUGGGGAUGCUGAUAGAGCUAAUAAGGGAAGUAAACAGGGACUAACGCCUUUGUCAAUUGUUAAAGUAGUACUGUUGGGUUUAAAAUUUAGAAAUGCAAGUGACAUCACUCUAUCACUCCACAAAAAUGUAAAAUAUGGCUGAAAAAUAAAUAAAAUGUAAACUGUUGCACUAAAA